CCCCACAGCUUUUGUGGCUGUGGUCCUUCCCUGAGGCCACGGGAGCAAGCCAGUCCCGGCUGUCUGCUCCCCAAGCUUGGCCGGAGGCAGCCACAAGAUUUGCCACCCCCAGGAUCUCUUAGAGGACCCCAGGCGGUGGUGCCGUCUGUGGCGUGGGUGGCACAGGGGAAGAUGAGACCACGAGGAGUCCAAGGCUGAAUGUGCAGAGGGCUGUCUGUGCCUGUGAACAGAUGUGGAUCCAUUCCCAAGGAUGCUGGAGUGCAAUGAGUGUUUUGCUUAAGGAUUUUGGCACAUUGCCUUAUAAUUUGAGUACAAAGAUGAUGAAGAAAGCAACAGUGUCAUCCAGAGCAACACCAGAUCUUUCAGAUAACUCACUAAACCCAGAGUUACAGUUAACCUUACUGCUGAUCUCUAAGUUUUCCAAGGGAUGGUAGUACUGGUAAAUGUUUAUCUUUAUUUUUAUAAUUUCUAUUGCUACUCUUCUGUGUGAAGUGAUGACAUUAAGGCCUUAAUUUUUUUAUACCAGUGUUCAAUGAAAAAUUGAAAUUAUGUUAUGAAAUUAUCAAAUUUUAGGUAAGGCAUUUGCUGGGGCACAACAGGAUGGGACAACAGAUCUGCUGAAUCAUAAAAUUUUAGAAUUUUGUUGCACAAUGCAAUAUUUCUUUUUCUCUUAGAAAUGGUGCUCACUUCCAUUGGCCAAACAGUGAAUUUAGCUGUGUAAUUAAUCCCUGAUUCUAAAAAUGCAUUGUAAAUUUACAAAUAUGUUCUUUUUUGUCAUAUUUUUUUUCUAUUUAUUUUUCCCAUAGGUCUGUCUCUAAAUGGGGCUUUCAGCAUAAUAGUGUUCAGAAUUUAAUGAAAGUGCAGUACAACAAAGCAAAGUGAGCAGCUGCUUGUAUGUACAACUGCUCACUGCUCAUAUUUAAGUUAGAAAGAUAUAUCUAUAUAGACAGAGAGACACAUUCAGACAGUAAGCACUUUCACAUUCAUCCAAACUGAAAUGUUGUAUAAUUUGAUAAUUUAUCUUUCUAGUGGGUUUAAUCCACAGAAUUAAAAUUGUAUAUUUGUCAGAUAAAUGGAAAUAAACAGUGAGAUUAGAAAACCAUGAACUCCUAGUGUACUAUGAGUAGACCAGAAAGUUGUUUACUGAAUUAUUCAUGGCAACUUAUUUUUUCAGAUAAGUGCAACAGCAAAUAUAGAAACUUUUGUUCAGCUCUGCAUGUCUUUGUGUCAGCUUAUUAUUUCCCUGAAUCACUGUUACUUUUCUGAGAGAAGAUGGAGUUCUGUAAAGGGAAAGUAACAAUCUAUUGUCUCUUUUAUGGAGACUGUAAAAAUUUUAUUCAAGUUAUUUUCUUUUAAGGGGAAACAAAUGAAAAACUCAACACACAACACUAACUUUUAAAUUGCUGAUCAUGUGUUUAUCUGCAAUCUGUGUUUUUAAUAGUUUUAGUGUAUUAGUCUCAUAGCACAAUUCUGAACAGUAUACAGAUAUUUCCUUUACAACUGUUUUCAUGCUGAGGCAAUUUUAAUUUUGCCCUAAUGUUAAAUCAGAAUGGUUGUAAGAAGGAAUGCUGGUGACACUGUUUGAGAUGGUAGUGGUGAAUUAUCUCCAGUGACUAGAGACAAAGUGAGAGCAAGUGCUUGGAUUUUUACCCAGUUGGUGCACUAAAGCACUUAGGGUGGGGAGAAAUAGCCAGAUUAUUUAGUGUAGGAUUAAGAAAGGUGAUGUAGGAGAGCAGCAAAAAGUGGGCUGUGCUGUGGCACUUCUGAGUUGAAAAUGGAAAUACCAAAUGUUUGUCAGAGAAAGGCAAAUGUUUGGUAUGUCUUGGUCGUAAACUAAUAAUUAGAUUGCAUUAUCUGGCCAACAAGACUGAGAAGUAGCUAGCUUAAUUAACUGCACACCUCUACAGACAUCUAAAUAUCUCUUCACUUGUUGUUUACACUCCUGCUCUUCAGCAUUUGUCAUCACCCUUUUGAUUAUAUUUAAACAUAUGUAAUUUGCGUGGUCUGGCAGAAAAUGGCAGGACAAUAUUUUACUGUAAAGAUGAAGCAAGAUCAUAUUGGGAUCAACAACAUAUCAGAACUUUCCUGCUGAGAUUGACUCUGGGAUAUCUGGCAUGGAGUGCAUGUGGAUUUCCAGGGACUGGUAUCAUUGCAUCUCAGAGAAGUUCCUCUGAACCUUGUGGAGACACAUAAUGGGGUACAACAGCAAGCAAGGCAAUAAAGGCUAAUCACAUGAGGUUUCUCAGUCUGGGUUCUUUGUGCAUUUCUGCCUUUGCUCAAAUACCCCUUGAAUCUACCUUUUUCUAGACAGUGAAGUUAGCAAAGGACAGCUGAUACGUGCAUUGGGUACAGGGACAGGACAGAACAGUCAGAGCAGGGCUGGGCAGAGAGCAGGGCAGAACAAUCAGAUAGGUGGCAAGCUAAAAGGAGUACCAAGAUUGACUAAAAUGAUAGCUAGAACAAGACAGAUCACAGAGAAGAGGCAAAGUCCUAGAUGACUUGUCUAGAGGAGCAAACUGUAUUUAUGGGUAGAACUUGCAGAUUGAAAAGGGAAAAACAGGAAUAAAACUAGCAGUUCAGCAAGCACCAUGUUUGUGUCUUGUAGAUGGGACAUGCAUGCUUUAACUGGGAAAAGAAAUUAGAGCAGCUGUGAAUGAUAGAACUUUAUGGUGCUGUAACCUGUAGCAAACUAUUUACUUUGUCAUAAAAGUAAAGACUUUGUGCUGACAAAUAGAUUGCCAUAUUUAAGUAUCAGGCUUGUAAGCUCUGUAUAUUAAAAUCUGCAUAUUAAAAGCUCUAGAUAUUAAAAUCUCUCGAUAAGAGAGCUCAGAUGAUACAAAGAGAGAAGGAAAUGUGUCAUAAAAGUAUGAGCAAUGGAUUUGGAUUUGGUUUUCUGCUGUUCUUCAGAAUCCAUUUCAGUAGCUCUCCUACAAAUGUUUAAAGUUAGCCAUCUCUUACAUAUAAUAACUACCACAUUCAUUGCCAGCCUCGAUAACAUAAAUUGAGUUGUGGUCUCUACAUAAAUACCCCAUUGCUUGCCAAGGGAAGCAAAUGUGGCAGCUCUGCAAAAAAAGCCCCUACAGAUGUAGAAACUGCCAAAGUGGAAGCCAAAAUAGCUGCAAUAAAACCCCAUUUUCCUGACUUUUUUACAUUGUGGGAAAAUGCUUUCUCCAGCUCUUCAGGAGGAAGACCACGUUAUCUCUGCUGAUACUCCUUGUGGCACUGUGUGGGUACCAAAACCUCAUUGUACAACCAGCCAAGUAAUUUUUUCACCUCGUAUGAGACUGGACAAGGUUUGUCUUAACAAGUCUAGAUCAUAUUUAGAAAGCCGAGAAACCGGAGAAGGGAUGUAACUUCACUGUGGAGGGCUGUGUGGUUUUUUCUAAAAGAAGGAAACAUCCCAUAAUUCAGCCAUGAUUCACUGUCUUCUUAUUUGUUAUGCAUGAAAUACAAUUGCCCUUUUACAUGUCUGCUAACUUUGGAAAAAUACUCAUCUUCUAGAGACACAGGUGGCUUUCUGUUCAUUUGAUCUUCACACUCAAAUGCCAUGUUCUGUUUAUCCCACACUUAGAGAUCAGAAGGUUGGAUAAGACCAUUGGGGUCAUUUCAGUUGCACUAUAAUUACAAGAUGAUCCUCUCAACACACCUCUCAACUGUUUUAUCUGGCCUACUUUGAACAUGACUUUGUUGAUCCAUCCGUGACUUCUUUUGAAGUGCUACUCUACUGCCUAAUGGACUUUAUGGGCAGACUUCUUUUUAUCAGAAUACAUUCUAUUUCUACAUGGGCACUUGAAAUAUUUACUGUGGUGGGAGGUGACUUCAGAUUUGGAAGAAGGAGAAGAGAACAGAUGACUUCCCUCUCUUUCCAUGUGGAAGAGUCUUAUAAGAAAAGCAGGAGGGUUGACAGCUCCAGCUGCUAAUUGUGACUCAAUGAGUAUGUGCCUGCUGCAGGUCACCAUCACUCCUACAGAUGGAUACCAUUAAAAUGUUGUUUCUGUGAAGCGAGAACAAGAAGGAAAGUUUCUUACCAGGCAGGAUAGUAUUUUUGGAAUAGGCUAUUCAUCUUUGGAGUAAAAAGAGGAACAAUGCUGGAUCUUCCAGCUCUCUACUCAAGGAAACACCAGGAUGUCAGUAAGUAUUAUAACUCAGUCCUGAAACUUGUAUGUAAAUACAGAUCCUGGUUUUGUGUUUAGCAUAUUUCCAUCAGCAGGCUACUCACUUUGGGACUUUCCAGGCUGAAGAUAUCACUUCCACAACCCAUCUAUCUUGAUUAAUGGUCAGGAAAGUUAAAACAGAAUACUUCACCAAUAUGUACAGCUUUGAUAAGCUUGAAUAUGGAGAAAGUUUGUCAGGAAUCCUUGGUUUUUCAAGAAAAGUUAUUUGCCAAUAA